UACGAAGGGGGCUAGCGUUGUUCGGAAUUACUGGGCGUAAAGCGCACGUAGGCGGAUUUGUAAGUCAGGGGUGAAAUCCCGGGGCUCAACCUCGGAACUGCCUUUGAUACUGCAAGUCUUGAGUCCGAUAGAGGUGAGUGGAAUUCUUAGUGUAGAGGUGAAAUUCGUAGAUAUUAGGAAGAACACCAGUGGCGAAGGCGGCUCACUGGAUCGGUACUGACGCUGAGGUGCGAAAGCGUGGGGAGCAAACAGG
rnacentral:rRNA from 1 species